GUGCCAGACUCCUACGGGAGGCAGCAGUCGGGAAUAUUGCGCAAUGGAGGAAACUCUGACGCAGUGACGCCGCGUAUAGGAAGAAGGUUUUCGGAUUGUAAACUAUUGUCGUUAGGGAAGAUAAAAGACUGUACCUAAGGAGGAAGCCCCGGCUAACUAUGUGCCAGCAGCCGCGGUAAUACAUAGGGGGCAAGCGUUAUCCGGAAUUACUGGGUGUAAAGGGAGCGUAGGCGGGGUGUCAAGUCAGAAGUGAAAAUUAUGGGCUCAACUCAUAACCUGCUUUUGAAACUGAUAUUCUUGAGUGAAGUAGAGGCAAGCGGAAUUCCUAGUGUAGCGGUGAAAUGCGUAGAUAUUAGGAGGAACACCAGUGGCGAAGGCGGCUUGCUGGGCUUUUACUGACGCUGAGGCUCGAAAGCGUGGGGAGCAAACAGGAUUAGAUACCCUAGUA
rnacentral:rRNA from 1 species